GCCUUCUUGGUGUAGUGGUUAGUACGCUGGACGCGUAACCGAGAGGUCCGUGGUUCGAUUCCCGGCGAAGGCG
rnacentral:tRNA from 1 species